UCGGAUAUGGUGUAACGGCUAACAUUGCCGCCUCUCAUGAAGUUACUCAGGCUUAACGCGGCAGCUCGGGGUUCGAUUCCCCGUAUCCGAA